rnacentral:tRNA from 1 species
GCGCCUGUAGCUCAGCUGGAUAGAGCAGCGGACUUCUAAUCCGCAGGUCGGGUGUUCGAAUCACCCCAGGCGCGCCA